UACGAAGGGGGCUAGCGUUGCUCGGAAUUACUGGGCGUAAAGCGCACGUAGGCGGGUUGCUAAGUCGGGGGUGAAAUCCUGGAGCUCAACUCCAGAACUGCCUUCGAAACUGACGAUCUUGAGUUCGGGAGAGGUGAGUGGAACUGCGAGUGUAGAGGUGAAAUUCGUAGAUAUUCGCAAGAACACCAGUGGCGAAGGCGGCUCACUGGCCCGAUACUGACGCUGAGGUGCGAAAGCGUGGGGAGCAAACAGG
rnacentral:rRNA from 1 species